rnacentral:rRNA from 1 species
UCCUGGCUCAGGACGAACGCUGGCGGCGUGCUUAACACAUGCAAGUCGAACGGAAAGGCCCUGCUUUUGUGGGGUGCUCGAGUGGCGAACGGGUGAGUAACACGUGAGUAACCUGCCCUUGACUUUGGGAUAACUUCAGGAAACUGGGGCUAAUACCGGAUAGGAGCUCCUGCUGCAUGGUGGGGGUUGGAAAGUUUCGGCGGUUGGGGAUGGACUCGCGGCUUAUCAGCUUGUUGGUGGGGUAGUGGCUUACCAAGGCUUUGACGGGUAGCCGGCCUGAGAGGGUGACCGGCCACAUUGGGACUGAGAUACGGCCCAGACUCCUACGGGAGGCAGCAGUGGGGAAUAUUGCACAAUGGGCGGAAGCCUGAUGCAGCAACGCAGCGUGCGGGAUGACGGCCUUCGGGUUGUAAACCGCUUUCGCCUGUGACGAAGCGUGAGUGACGGUAAUGGGUAAAGAAGCACCGGCUAACUACGUGCCAGCAGCCGCGGUGAUACGUAGGGUGCGAGCGUUGUCCGGAUUUAUUGGGCGUAAAGGGCUCGUAGGUGGUUGAUCGCGUCGGAAGUGUAAUCUUGGGGCUUAACCCUGAGCGUGCUUUCGAUACGGGUUGACUUGAGGAAGGUAGGGGAGAAUGGAAUUGCUGGUGGAGCGGUGGAAUGCGCAGAUAUCAGGAGGAACACCAGUGGCGAAGGCGGUUCUCUGGGCCUUUCCUGACGCUGAGGAGCGAAAGCGUGGGGAGCGAACAGGCUUAGAUACCCUGGUAGUCCUCGCUGUAAACGGUGGGUACUAGGUGUGGGGUCCAUUCCACGGGUUCCGUGCCGUAGCUAACGCUUUAAGUACCCCGCCUGGGGAGUACGGCCGCAAGGCUAAAACUCAAAGGAAUUGACGGGGCCCCGCACAAGCGGCGGAGCAUGCGGAUUAAUUCGAUGCAACGCGUAGAACCUUACCUGGGUUUGACAUGGAUCGGGAGUGCUCAGAGAUGGGUGUGCCUCUUUUGGGGUCGGUUCACAGGUGGUGCAUGGCUGUCGUCAGCUCGUGUCGUGAGAUGUUGGGUUAAGUCCCGCAACGAGCGCAACCCUUGUUCACUGUUGCCAGCACGUUAUGGUGGGGACUCAGUGGAGACCGCCGGGGUCAACUCGGAGGAAGGUGGGGAUGACGUCAAGUCAUCAUGCCCCUUAUGUCCAGGGCUUCACGCAUGCUACAAUGGCUGGUACAGAGAGUGGCGAGCCUGUGAGGGUGAGCGAAUCUCGGAAAGCCCGUCUCAGUUCGGAUUGGGGUCUGCAACUCGACCUCAUGAAGUCGGAGUCGCUAGUAAUCGCAGAUCAGCAACGCUGCGGUGAAUACGUUCCCGGGGCUUGUACACACCGCCCGUCAAGUCAUGAAAGUUGGUAACACCCGAAGCCGGUGGCCUAACCGUUGUGGGGGAGCCGUCGAAGGUGGGACUGGUGAUUAGGACUAAGUCGUAACAAGGUAGCCGUACCGGAAGGUGCGGCUGGAUCACCUCCUUUCUA